UUCAGUGUGUGCAUGUCUUAGUCUACUUUUGGCACUAUGUAGUUCAGGUUAUGUGCUCUUCUCUGCUAGGUUCAGGCACCCAAGUACGUGCUUAUGUGAGUGGGAGUACAACGUACCUACGCCUACCUACGUGUGCUUACCUACAGACAUUUUUAUUUUCAAUGUUCUGAUUCCAGCGGCCUUUUCAAGAGACAAAAGAAAGUUAAAAUUAGAGCCUAAAAACAAUGGAUUUGCAGCAGCCAGCACAAUGCCAGUCUGCACUGUUGUGAAAGACCUGUGCAUAAACAUUCAUAGGGAUGAAUUCAGAGGUGAUGGGCAACACAGACUGAGGAAAAGGAGCCCAGAGAGUAGGUAAUAAUAAAGAAAAUCAUGAAAAGAGGAAACAGAGGAGGAAAAGCAGCUAAGUGAAAGGUAUGUAACACCUAAUCUAAAGCACAUUUCUCUCUCCUUCAGCGCACACAAAACUUUUACCGGUUCCUUUUUAUGGUUAUUGAAUGCCCACAUUACCUGAAAGUGGAAUUUAUUGUGCUGAGUGUUAAACUCUAAGUUUUACAAAUAAGCUUCCGUACAAAAAUAUUUAUUAUCUGUAACGUACAUCAUCAGCUCUUACACUCCCACUGCGUUCAUCCAUUGUCUCCCAAUACAGUUACCGUGAACGUAUGUCAGAAUAUACGUCAGCCUCAGAAAUACACACUUGUACUGCAGUGACUAUUUUCUAUUCCUUAUUUCUUUGCCUCUAUUUUAAACAACGGAUGCGUACGUUUGCUUAGAACCUAGCUUCUGAAACAGAAGGACAGAAUUACUGGUUCUGACAGCUGUGAAAACAUUUCCAUAAUACAGAAAAUCUAAAUGCCUCUUCAUUCAAUCACU
rnacentral:lncRNA from 1 species